ACUCCCAGAUAUUACUAAUAUAGAAAUUUAAUAGCUUCUGUAUAUGACAAUGUAAGCGAGUCGCAAGAAUUAUUUGAUUUUCCAGUGCAUAUAAAGUUAUGUUUACACAAUACUGUAGUCUAUUAGAGUGCAAUAGCAUUAUGUCUAAAGAAACAUUGCCAGAAUUACCAAAAUGUGACACAGAGACAUGAAAUGAACACAUGCUAUUGGAAAAAUGGCUGCUCGACGCAGGGUUGCCAAUUUGUAAAUUACGCAACGUCUAGAGAUGGGAUGAAGGGGAAUGAUGGCGUCAGCGUGGUGUGGCGUGGCCUUGCGUUUGUUCUUUUGGUGUGGUUAAUAGUUAUUGGCGUAUGAAUUUUUCUGUGUACCGGUAAGAGUGUAGUUAAUUAAAUCCGUAUUGAUACAUGCAGACUGACGGUCAAUGAAGAGGCCAGUAAAGUCUAGAGUUACGUGAAUUCAUUCCACUAGGACGUAAAAGAUCUGGGCCAUAUUUAUGGUUGAAUCAAUUUCAUUGGAGUAUUUUAUAUGGUGCUCUUUGUUCCGUAGAACCCGCAUGUGUAGAUCACAUUUAUUGUGCAAUUAUAAAAGUAGCUGUGUUACAUUUUAUUUUGCAUUACAGAAGCUGGAUUUUUGUGUUCAGUAGAUUAUUCAAUGUGUUUCGACCAUAAUCAGUGGCGUUCGGCGAUACCUGGAGGCAGAAGAGACAAAAAUUAAAAUAAAUAACACAGAGUAUACUGUGUAUGAUACAAAAGGCGAUUAUGAAGGACGCUGUGCUUGGGAGAAGCAUUUCAAGCAUGUAAACGGAGUUAUGUAUGUGGUUGAUUGUACUCAAGAGGAUCAGUGGGCUCAGGAUAAAGAUUUUCUGGAGAGCCUCCUGAUCAAUCCUGCUUUAAAAGAAGUCCCUAUCCUUGUUUUAUUAAACAACUUAGAUAAUCCAACACAAGGAUUAGUGGAUAAAAUAAAUUUACACUUCACAGAUGUGUUUGAGAACACCACAGACAAGGAUUAGACGAUUCCAGAAAAAUUCUUGUGGUUGGAUUACCUGAAGUGGGGAAAUCAUCCUUAGUGCACCUUAUGAAGGGUGCAGAUAUCUGCACUUUUGAUUGGAGAUUGCAUUAAAGGGCAGAAGAGACAAGAAUCAUAAUAAAUGAAAACGAAUAUGUAGUAUAUGACAUGAAAGGCGAUUCUAAAGGACGCUGUGCUUGGCAGAAGCUCUUUAAGGCGGUACAUGGAGUAAUAUACGUGGUUGAUUGCACUCGAGACGAUCAGUGGGCGCAGGAUAAAGAUUUCCUGGAAAGCCUCUUGAUAAAUCCUGCAUUCAAAGGCGCCCCUAUCCUUGCUAUACUUAACAAACUGGAUAAUCCGACGCAAGGAUUAGUGAACCGAUUAAACUUACAAUUCACAGAUGUGUUAGGGAAGACCACAGGCAAGGGCACCAGAUCCCAAGCACUGCAAAAACGCCCAUUUGAAGUCUUCCAAUGCUCGGCCCAUAGGCGCAGUGGUUAUCAGAAUGGCUUCGAGUGGUUGGCUUCCUAUAUAGAUUAGGGUCUGUUGUGUUAUUAUAAGAUUUGAGGUUUUCACAGGGUGAGUAUGAAGAUUUCUGUCUUCUGGGUUGUUGCACUGUGUAGUCUGGUCGAUGUUUACCAUACCACACGGCGCAACAACCCAUACUCAUCGCCCUGAUGAUGGAGGCAGUAUGACCUUUGACCUCAAAUCUUACAUAUAUGUUCAUUGUUCUAAUAUUAAUUAGCAAAUAAGUAUUUAUAAUAAAAUGUUUUUUAUUCUUAAAGUAUUUGUGUGUAACAGUUGUCUGUUAGGUAAUUCAAGUCAUAAUGUAUAGACCAAAUACUGCGAGCAUAAUGUGAAGUAUUCCUUCAUUUGAAAAAAUGGACAACAAUCUCAUCACUUAUGUCCCUAAAUAAAUAAUACUGGGUCAUUCCAUGUAAAAUUUAA